rnacentral:rRNA from 1 species
GAUGAACGCUGGCGGCGUGCCUAAUACAUGCAAGUCGAGCGAACGGACGAGAAGCUUGCUUUUCUGAUGUUAGCGGCGGACGGGUGAGUAACACGUGGAUAACCUACCUAUAAGACUGGGAUAACUUCGGGAAACCGGAGCUAAUACCGGAUAAUAUUUUGAACCGCAUGGUUCAAAAGUGAAAGACGGUCUUGCUGUCACUUAUAGAUGGAUCCGCGCUGCAUUAGCUAGUUGGUAAGGUAACGGCAUACCAAGGCAACGAUGCAUAGCCGACCUGAGAGGGUGAUCGGCCACACUGGAACUGAGACACGGUCCAGACUCCUACGGGAGGCAGCAGUAGGGAAUCUUCCGCAAUGGGCGAAAGCCUGACGGAGCAACGCCGCGUGAGUGAUGAAGGUCUUCGGAUCGUAAAACUCUGUUAUUAGGGAAGAACAUAUGUGUAAGUAACUGUGCACAUCUUGACGGUACCUAAUCAGAAAGCCACGGCUAACUACGUG